ACGGGAGGCAGCAGUGGGGAAUAUUGCACAAUGGGGGAAACCCUGAUGCAGCGACGCCGCGUGAACGAAGAAGUAUUUCGGUAUGUAAAGUUCUAUCAGCAGGGAAGAAAAUGACGGUACCUGACUAAGAAGCCCCGGCUAACUACGUGCCAGCAGCCGCGGUAAUACGUAGGGGGCAAGCGUUAUCCGGAUUUACUGGGUGUAAAGGGAGCGUAGACGGUAGUGCAAGUCUGAAGUGAAAGCUCGCAGCUUAACUGCGGAACUGCUUUGGAAACUGUACAACUAGAGUACCGGAGGGGUAAGCGGAAUUCCUAGUGUAGCGGUGAAAUGCGUAGAUAUUAGGAGGAACAUCAGUGGCGAAGGCGGCUUACUGGGCUUUAACUGACGCUGAGGCUCGAAAGCGUGGGGAGCAAACAGGAUUAGAUACCCUGGUA
rnacentral:rRNA from 1 species